UAGCGGUGAAAUGCUUAGAUAUCACGAAGAACUCCGAUUGCGAAGGCAGCUCACUAGACUGCAACUGACACUGAUGCUCGAAAGUGUGGGUAUCAAACAGGAUUAGAUACCCUGGUAGUCCACACAGUAAACGAUGAAUACUCGCUGUUUGCGAUAUACAGUAAGCGGCCAAGCGAAAGCAUUAAGUAUUCCACCUGGGGAGUACGCCGGCAACGGUGAAACUCAAAGGAAUUGACGGGGGCCCGCACAAGCGGAGGAACAUGUGGUUUAAUUCGAUGAUACGCGAGGAACCUUACCCGGGCUUAAAUUGCAUUUGAAUAAUCUGGAAACAGGUUAGCCGCAAGGCAAAUGUGAAGGUGCUGCAUGGUUGUCGUCAGCUCGUGCCGUGAGGUGUCGGCUUAAGUGCCAUAACGAGCGCAACCCUUAUCUUUAGUUACUAACAGGUCAUGCUGAGGACUCUAGAGAGACUGCCGUCGUAAGAUGUGAGGAAGGUGGGGAUGACGUCAAAUCAGCACGGCCCUUACGUCCGGGGCUACACACGUGUUACAAUGGGGGGUACAGAAGGCAGCUACCUGGCGACAGGAUGCUAAUCCCAAAAACCUCUCUCAGUUCGGAUCGAAGUCUGCAACCCGACUUCGUGAAGCUGGAUUCGCUAGUAAUCGCGCAUCAGCCAUGGCGCGGUGAAUACGUUCCCGGGCCUUGUACACACCGCCCGUCAAGCCAUG
rnacentral:rRNA from 1 species